GCCAGCAGCCGCGGUAAUACGGAAGGUCCGGGCGUUAUCCGGAUUUAUUGGGUUUAAAGGGAGCGUAGGCCGCCCCUUAAGCGUGUUGUGAAAUGCGGGUGCUCAACAUCCGACUUGCAGCGCGAACUGGRGGGCUUGAGUGCGCCGAAAGUAGGCGGAAUUCGUGGUGUAGCGGUGAAAUGCUUAGAUAUCACGAAGAACUCCGAUUGCGAAGGCAGCUUACUGUAGCGCAACUGACGCUGAUGCUCGAAAGCGUGGGUAUCGAACAGGAUUAGAUACCCUGGUAGUCCACGCGGUAAACGAUGGAUGCUCGUUGUCGGCCCUUGCGGUCGGUGACCAAGCGAAAGCGUUAAGCAUCCCACCUGGGGAGUACGCCGGCAACGGUGAAACUCAAAGGAAUUGACGGGGGCCCGCMCAAGCGGAGGAACAUGUGGUUUAAUUCGAUGAUACGCGAGGAACCUUACCCGGGCUUGAAC
rnacentral:rRNA from 1 species